UUCCACCCAAUUAAUGCCCGUUAGUUUUAAGUUUUUUUAUUAAAUCAAAUAUAUAUGACGACCAUUUGCAAUUUGCAAAUAAGCCACGUAAGAAUUUGGUCAAUUGAACGAUGCCCAACUUUUAAUUAAUAAUACUAAUGAUCAAAUAAAUAUCCAACCGACCGCGCCACACAUACUCUUCCCAUAUUCUAUGCAAAGGAUGUGCCAACAAAUACACACAAUCCCAUUGAAUCACUCUCUCUUUCUUAAGCAGCCUACCUUCGUCUUGUCAACUUUUCGACUACGGUCCAACAUUGGCUUCGUUUCGUUUUCGCUUGUUAAAAGAGGAAUUUCAUACCUAAUUCUUGGAUUAAUACAUGAUUUUCUAGAAGAAUUUAACCCUUCUUUUACUAAUGCAUGCACUAUGGAAAAGUGGGAAACCGAAAAGCUAACACGAGAGUAAGAGAGUCAAAGACGAAGAAGAAGAAGAAGAAGAAGUAAGACCUCAUUUAUUUUCCAAGGUAAUAACAAUAUUAUUACCACAUCAUUCUCUGUCAUCUUAAUCAAUGGAGGUGCUAGAUUUAGGUGGGUAUUGGCAGUUAGUAGUUUAUUUCCGGUUAGUCAGGUCAGUUAGGGAAUCUACUCAUUAUUAUAUUAUUGUAUUUAAAAAAAAAUUAUAUUAGUGUAUACAUGUUAAUUAAUUAAUUGUAUGGCUAGCUAUCCCAUAUUAUCGAAUAUAUUGAUUAGAGAAAGAGGAGAGGACCGCUUGAUUCGCGUCCCAAUUCCCAUACAUAAUUCAUAAGUUAGUGAAUGGGUGUUGAAAGCUUUUAACUUUAUAUUGUGAGUAUUGAAAAAAAUAUAUGGGUUGCGCAACGGCAAUUUAAUUACCUCGUACCUAAUUAAAAACUUUAUUGAUUUGCUUAAUCUUACCUGCCUAGCAAUUUGUUUAAGAAAUGAAAAAAGAUUUUGAUCUUUUCAAUAUUCAAAGAGGUUAAUUGAGACGCCUUGACGUGCAACAGGAAGUAUUAGGUUUAACAUUUUCAAAUCAGUGGUCAUAUGUACUUGAAAGAUUCAACGACGACGAUUAAAUUAGUAAUUUGAAUCACUAAUUCCACUUAAGAUAAAAUGUAAAGCAUAUCUAUAAGGAUAUUCAUACGGAUGGGCGCACAUGUGCACCCAUGUGCACACUGAGAAUUAGAUUAACAAUUGAUUGGGAGGAAAAUUUUUUCAGGCGGACUUAAUCUUGCACGUGCCACACAUAGGUGGCACUGGUUGAUUUUUAUUUUUAUUUUUUACUAGGUGAUGAUUGCUUUUAAUUUUUCAAUAUUGCUUUGAAAUAUUGAAAUACGAUGCAUUCUCAAAAGAUUGUUCAGUUGGCUUAAUUCUUGCAGUGAAAUUAAAAAAAAAAAUUAUGGGUUUGAGUCAGAGGGGAAUGCGUCUAAUUUAGGUUGGGGGCAGAGGCAAGUACGUUUCAUUAAAUUGGAGAGAGAUGGGUGCAAUGUAAAUUAAAAUAUAUAUGUAACUUAAAACACUGCUUAUUUAAUUAUUAAUCAUGUGAUCUUGUUAAACUUAAAUUAUAUAGUUUUGAAGUGAAGGUCUAGAUUCAAUGAUAAGAAAAAGUCUUAGGAAGAUUCCGGUCUUAAGAAUGUGACUGAUUUAACAAUAAUAAAAUAUGACAGGUAGAGGUCCAGCCUAACCUUCUACUAUCUUAGUGGUUUCAAUAAAAUAAUAAUAAUAAUAAUAGAAGUAAUAGAGGAAUGUGAUUGAUUCACCAAUCGGUGAACUGUUUCACUAAUUAACUAAUAUUGCGGAAAAUUUAAUAAUAAAUAUUUCAUAUGCUACUUUGAAUGGUAAAUUUUCUUAAUCAUAAUAAUUGAGUAAUGAUGAUUGAUUUGAUAAAACUGGGACUCAAAAAUACUGGCCAAACUACGCAAAAAAGAUCAACUAAAAGUAAUGACACUGAAUAUCUUGAGUUAUUUUCUUUCUGAUGUUGCUCCAUGUGCCAUCUGUUAACUACGACAAUUAUUGAUUGCCAACUAAUCCAUGCUGAAAUAAUAGAAUAAUUAAGCCAAAGCUACACUAAUUAAUCAGUUUAUGACGGGCUAACAGUAUGUUGCAUGCGAUACAAAAUCCCAAGUGCUAACCAAGUGAGUUCCUCGCGUCGUGGAUUGCAACCAUUUGUUAUCCUUAUAUUUGGUUUGAUUAUGGAUAAUCCUCUCAAGUAUAAAAUAUAUUACAUAUCAAAAGCUUCUCCCAUGUAGUGGUUUCCAAAAUCAAUCAUUAAUAAAGGAUUAAGCUCUCACAAUUCUUAACUAGUACCAAAGAUAAGAUUAUAAAAGAGUUUCGUCCUUAAAGCCAGUAAAAAAAAGAAAGAAAAACAAAGAAAUAAAUUAAGAACCAAAACCUUAAUCUAGAUCUUAAUGGUCCGUUUACUUCAUGGAAUGAAAAUGGGGUGGAAUGGGAAUGAGGAAUGAGAAUUAGAUUUCAAUGUUUACUUGGCAAAAAUAAAUGGAAAUGUGAAUGUGUUGGAAUGCCAUUGAUGUGUUUACUUGGCAAAAUAAAUGGGAAUGAGAAAUAGAAAUGAGAAUCAAUUUACCAAAAUACCCAUAGUAUUAAUAAUUAAUAAAAAUAAUUAAUUUAUCAUUAUUAACAAUAUUAUCAUUAUUGUUGUUAUUAUUACUAAUAAAAAUAAUAUUAACAAUAAUUAAUAAUAACUAAAAUAAUAAAGUUAAUAAAAUUUAAUAAUAAUAUAUUAUCAUUAUUCACAUUUAUUAUUAUUAUUAUUAAAUUUUAUUUAUUUUAUUUAUUAUUAAUUAUUGUUAUUAUUAUUUUUAUUAAUAUUAUCAUUAUUAACAUUUAUUAAUAUUAUUUUUUAAUUAAUAUAAUUUUAUAUCUAGAUAAUGAAAAUUACAUUAUUAUUAUUAUUAUUCAAUUUUAUUAACUUUAUUAUUUUAGUUAUUAUUAAUUAUUGUUAUUAUUUUUUAUUAAUAAUAACAACAACAACAACAAUAAUGAUAAUAUUGUUAAUAAUGAUAAAUUAAUUAUUUUUAUUAAUUAUUAUUUUUAUUGUUAAUAAUGAUAAUAUUAAUAAAAAUAAAAAUAAUAAUAACUAAAAUAAUAAUAACUAAAAUAAUAAAGUUAAUAUAUUAUUAUUAUUAUUAAUGGCAUUUAAAAUAAUAAAAUCAAUUGUGAUUUGAAUGAAGGUAAUUUAGGAAAUAUGAAAAAAUUAUAGGGAUACAAAAGUAAACAUAUAUUCCAUUUUCAUUCCCAACUCUCGGAAUGAGAUUCGCAUUCCUUAUUCUCAAAUUGUGUGGGACCCACACAUUUUAUUUCCAUUCAUAAAUUAUAUUUUGCCAAAUAAACAUGAGUUUCAUUCAUAUUCCUUCAUUCACAUUCCUCAUUUCAUGAAAUAAACACACUAUAAGUGUACGUUGAAAUAUUACUCAAAACAAGAGCCAUUAUUGCAUCCAAGUGUUCCUUUACUAAGAGGUAAUACCGUUGUCCCCAUUCUGCAAAGCCACUUGGUGGAUUGUCAAUGUCACACCAAUCAAGUAAGUUGUGUGAAAAUUGCCAUAUGACUAAAGAACUGUCACUUCUUUAACAAGUGGGAUUGCAGCAUUUUUCAAACCAGACAAUUUGCUAAAUAAUUUGCUUCUGCAAGUAGAAAUAAGAGUGCAUGAUCAUCUAAAAGAAAGUAUUUGCCAAGCCCAGAAACUAAUUGGAUGCUUUUUUCGUAGACAAUCACAACUAUCUGCAAGUUGCGUUCUGGAUUGGUUAAUGGUUAUUGAAUGAACGUCGAAGACUCAACAUCAGCCUGUCAUGGUGCUUAACUAAUGGCAAAGCGACCCCAUUCCCUAAUCCUGCGGAAUUUUUUGUAAGUUGCAAUGAUAAUCAUCUAUUCUAUUUGUAAAGCCAAGCGACAACUUAUAGCAAGUUGCAUAAAUGGACACCAAAAAGCAUCAUGCAAAAACACAUACAUAAUGCUAUUAUUAUAAAGUACGUGCUACCUAGUUAAAAUCAAAUUGUGAUAAGAAAUGCUUUUAACUAUAAUAGUUCCAAUCUAGAUUGAUCAGCUUCGAUUAUAAUUCCAACAGCUUUCUCCUUGCAUCUGCUCAAUCAGAUAUUCUAGGUGAAAGGAGAUUGGAUUGAUGAAAAGUGG
rnacentral:lncRNA from 1 species